rnacentral:rRNA from 1 species
GAUGAACGCUGGCGGCGUGCCUAAUACAUGCAAGUCGAGCGAACGGACGAGAAGCUUGCUUCUCUGAUGUUAGCGGCGGACGGGUGAGUAACACAUGGAUAACCUACCUAUAAGACUGGGAUAACUUCGGGAAACCGUAGCUAAUACCGGAUAAUAUUUUGAACCGCAUGGUUCAAAAGUGAAAGACGGUCUUGCUGUCACUUAUAGAUGGAUCCGCGCUGCAUUAGCUAGUUGGUAAGGUAACGGCUUACCAAGGCAACGAUGCAUAGCCGACCUGAGAGGGUGAUCGGCCACACUGGAACUGAGACACGGUCCAGACUCCUACGGGAGGCAGCAGUAGGGAAUCUUCCGCAAUGGGCGAAAGCCUGACGGAGCAACACCGCGUGAGUGAUGAAGGUCUUCGGAUCGUAAAACUCUGUUAUUAGGGAAGAACAUAUGUGUAAGUAACUGUGCACAUCUUGACGGUACCUAAUCAGAAAGCCACGGCUAACUACGUG